UACGAAGGGGGCUAGCGUUGCUCGGAAUCACUAGGCGUAAAGCGCACGUAUGCGGAUUGCUAAGUCAGGGGUGAAAUCCUGGAGCUCAACUCCAGAACUGCCUUUGAUACUGGCGAUCUUGAGUCCGGGAGAGGUGAGUGGAACUGCGAGUGUAGAGGUGAAAUUCGUAGAUAUUCGCAAGAACACCAGUGGCGAAGGCGGCUCACUGGCCCGGUACUGACGCUGAGGUGCGAAAGCGUGGGGAGCAAACAGG
rnacentral:rRNA from 1 species